UUGUCUGGUUUAUUCCGAUAACGAGCGAGACUCUAGCCUGCUAAAUAGUGUCCAGAUAUAUAAGUCUGGCUUACUUCUUAGAGGGAUAAGCGGUGUUUAGCCGCACGAGAUUGAGCGAUAACAGGUCUGUGAUGCCCUUAGAUGUUCGGGGCUGCACGCGCGCUACACUGGAAGAAUCAGCUGGUCCUUCCAUUGCCGAAAGGUAUUGGUAAACCGUUGAAACUCUUCCGUGACCGGGAUAGGGAAUUGUAAUUAUUUCCCUUGAACGAGGAAUUCCUAGUAAGUGUGAGUCAUCAGCUCACGUUGAUUACGUCCCUGCCCUUUGUUACACACCGCCCGUCGCUGUCCGGGACUGAGCUGUUUCGAGAAGAGUGGAGACUGCUGUAUUGGGGCUUUCGGGCUCUGGUAUGAUGGAAACCAUUUUAAUCGCAAUGGCUUGAACCGGGCAAAAGUCGUAACAAGGUAUCUGUAGGUGAACCUGCAGAUGGAUCAUCG
rnacentral:ncRNA from 1 species